CCCUCCUUUUUAGGAGAAAAUAAACUAGAUUUAUCAUAGAAACAGCAACGUCCGUACACAGCCAGCAGUCGUGAAUAACUUAAUAAAUCCCUAAAACUAAACAUGUCAAGUAAUUAUAUGUCCACCCUGCCUGCCACAGAGCGUGAAUGAUACAUCCACAAACUUAAUUAGGUCAGUAUAAAAACAUGUACGUCCCUUCAUUCUCCCAGUUUCAAACUGAUGUACACCAGUGGCCAGAAGUGUCUUACCGGGACAUUUACUCGUACCUCAUCAAGUCACCAGCAGGCACAAACACUUCCUGAAGCACAUCGGUCGCAUUAAGCCUGCUCUGUCCUAGAGCUUUUAAUAGAUAAUCAUUUCUAACUGCGUUUGAAUGGGAAAUGGUGCCUGUGUUUGUGUCCUCUCCGCAGCGGGGUGAACUGACCUCUAAUGACCUCUGGUGACCUGAGCUGACCCUCAAACCUGUUCGUCAAAAUAGUCAAUCUGCCCCGAAGAGUCAUGGACAACAAGAAGGCGGAGCACAGAGUCAAUGCGAAGAAAUGCUCAUGGGCGUCAUACAUGACCAACUCCCCUACCGUCAUCGUAUUGAUCGGCCUUCCUGCCCGAGGAAAGACGUACAUAUCCAAGAAGCUGACGCGAUACCUCAACUGGAUCGGGGUUCCCACGAAAGUUUUUAACCUGGGUGUUUAUAGACGUGAGAUGGUACAGUCGUACAAGUCUUUCGACUUCUUCCGUCAUGACAAUGAAGAGGCCAUGAAAAUCAGAAAACAGUGUGCCAUCGUGGCUCUACAGGAUGUGAAAUCUUAUCUGAAUGAGGAGGGAGGGCAGAUCGCUGUUUUUGAUGCCACAAACACGACCAGAGAGAGAAGGAGCCUCAUCCUGAGCUUUGCGGAGGAAAACGAAUAUAAGGUGUUUUUCGUGGAGUCACUUUGUGACGACCCAGAAGUCAUUGCUGCUAACAUACUGGAUGUGAAGGUGUCCAGCCCUGAUUAUCCCGAGAGAGGCCGAGAGAGUGUGAUGGAGGACUUCCUGAAGAGAAUCGAGUGUUAUAAAGUCACGUAUCAGCCGCUAGACCCCGAUGACCACGACAAGGAUCUGUCCUUCAUCCAGCUGAUCAACGUCGGCCAGCGGUUCCUGGUGAACCACGUUCAGGAUUACAUCCAGAGCAAGAUCGUCUACUACCUGAUGAAUAUUCAUGUCCAAAAGCACUCCAUCUACAUCUGCCGCCACGGCGAGAGCCAGCACAACGUCCAGGGCUACAUCGGAGGAGACUGCGAGCUCUCCAGCAGAGGAAAAGAGUUUUCUAAAGCCUUGCGUGGAUUCCUGGAAAACCAGAAGAUCCCAGACCUGAAGGUGUUUACCAGUCAGCUCAGACGCACCAUCCAGACGGCCGAGGAGCUGGGCGUCCCGUACGAACAGUGGAAAAUCCUCAACGAAAUCGAUGCUGGAAUCUAUGAAGAAAUGACAUAUGAACAGAUUAAAGAAACAUGUCCGGAUGAAUAUUAUCUCAGGGACCAGGACAAAUACCACUACAGAUACCCAGGAGGAGAGUCCUAUCAGGAUCUGGUGCAGCGGCUGGAGCCAGUAAUCAUGGAGCUGGAGAGACAAGGCAAUGUGCUGGUCAUCUGUCACCAGGCCGUCAUGCGCUGCCUCCUCGCUUACUUCCUGGACAAGAGCGCCGAUGAUUUGCCGUAUCUAAAGUGCCCCCUCCAUGUGGUCCUGAAACUCACCCCAGUGGCGUAUGGAUGUAAAGUCGACAUGUUUAACCUGAAGGUUGAAGCUGUAAACACACACCGGGACAGACCACUCGGAAGCUCCAGACAAACAGUGCCGCACACUCUGGUGAGGAGGAACAGCUUCACACCACUAUCUAGUCAGGAUCAAAUCAAGCGGCCCCGUCUCUUCAGCGCUGGCAACCGGCCCCGGCUCGCAAGCGUUCAUGCCUUAUCAGCCACGCGAUUCCCUGAGACGGAGGAGAGCGAGGAGCUGAGCGAGAGCCAGGGCGUGGCCACUUGAGUGAGAGGUGGAUUGCUGCUGCUGUCACCACUGUCAACUAACUCCACCCACGUCCCGCCUCUUUGGCCGUUAUUCAGGAGUGCCUGAGACUUUAGGCUUCAGAAUUGCUCUUCAGAAACCUGUGGGAAAUACUGAACUGCUUCAGCCCGUCAGACUCGAAAGACAUCAUCCAAGAGUGACUAUACACAAAGAAAGCGGUGUGACAUCCAACACAAAUGAAAUGUUUUCUCCAUUCAUGAUUCAUGAACACUGCUUUGUGUAACAUUAGUAGCGCCGGCGACGCCUUCAUCCGCUCUUCUCAACCCUCGUCUGUCCUCAAGCGCGGUAAAAUCAAAACAGGAUGGGAGUUAUUGAUUGAAAUACUCCAUAUUUAAUGCAAGGAAGACUUAGUUUAGCAAGUAGGUUCACAGCUUAAACGGAUUGAGUGGGCGUGGCUUAUGCCAAAUAAGGUGAUUGGCUCUCCUGAAUCAUAAUAUUUAAAGACACCAUGCACAAAAAAAAAAUAAGAAAGAAGGGAAUAUUCAAGCACUCCUUUUGCGCUCUUUUCUUCAUACUACCUUAGUAUUGAUUGAUUCACUAAGGGCAAAUUUGAUUGGAUAUUUUUAAAUGUUUUAUAAAAUUAUAAUUUUAGCUGUUCAUUUUCUGUGGUGUUCUCGGUGUCAAUGUUUUCUCAUUUAUAUACACUGCUUUCUGGUUUUGAUUGUUGUGCUGAAUGUAUUAUCGAACUUAACGAAUGUCUUGCAGUCUCAUGAUGUCAUAGGUCAUGUGACAGAGCAAAAUGUUUGUGAAAAGCAUGUUCUGGAAAGCAACAUCAGGGUAGUUCUUAUAAAUAACGGUUUUAUUUGUUGUAAACUGCUGAAACUCAAGGAAACUUGAUUUAGACUUUCAGAAGCAUAUGCACAUUAAUUACACAGUUAGGUCUUAGGUCUAUUAGAACGUUUAAUAUUACUGAGAAUAUUGAAACUUAUACAGUUAAAUUAGUAUGAAUGUUUAUUAUCAUUUUGGUUAUCUUUCAUUAUACUUCAUUAUAUACAUUAUGAUUUUAUCUUGCCUCAGAAGGGUAUUCUUAAAGGCUGUAUUAAAUAGUUCUGUAAUUAGAAAUUUGAGUUCAAUUAGUCCGAUUUUUAGUAUGUUUUUAAUGUGUGUUGAAUUAUGAUGGCCUGUUAAGGACGUGUUUAUAUCAAUCGAAGGUUGCAUUGUUGUUGCAUCAUGCAGCUUGUUAUUAAUUAGGUUUUUGCAUGAUUUGAUAUGAUCAGAUCUGUAAGUGCCUGUGCUUCGCAACCAAAGUGUGACCAAAUCAAAGCCUGAAAAACAGCAGAUCACGUAGAGGGCAGAUUCUUGGAUCACAUUUAGUUCAGAGCCAAGUCCUUUGUUUUAAUGUCUUACAGAAAAUGCAUUUUUUGUUCUGGUUUCAUUGCAUCACAGUAUCUAUACCACUGUUAUAGUUAUGACUAAAUAUAUAUGUCAUGCUAAUCUACUGAUAAAUAUUUUGUGAUCUAAUAAAUCAGACGGUGAUGCAA